UACGUAGGAGGCGAGCGUUGUCCGGAGUUACUGGGCGUAAAGGGUGCGCAGGCGGCACGUCAAGUCGCGUGUGAAAUCCCCAGGCUUAACCUGGGAAGUGCGCGCGAAACUGACGAGCUUGAGUGCCGGAGAGGGUCGCGGAAUUCCCGGUGUAGAGGUGAAAUUCGUAGAUAUCGGGAGGAACGCCAGUGGCGAAGGCGGCGACCUGGACGGACACUGACGCUGAGACGCGAAAGCGUGGGGAGCAAACAGG
rnacentral:rRNA from 1 species